rnacentral:rRNA from 1 species
GACGAACGCUGGCGGCGGGCUUAACACAUGCAAGUCGAACGGAAAGGCCCUGCUUUUGUGGGGUGCUCGAGUGGCGAACGGGUGAGUAACACGUGAGUAACCUGCCCUUGACUUUGGGAUAACUUCAGGAAACUGGGGCUAAUACCGGAUAGGAGCUCCUGCUGCAGGGUGGGGGUUGGAAAGUUUCGGCGGUUGGGGAUGGACGCGCGGCUUAUCAGCUUGUUGGUGGGGGAGUGGCUUACCAAGGCUUUGACGGGUAGCCGGCAUGAGAGGGUGACCGGCCACAUUGGGACUGCGAUACGGCCCAGACUCCAACGGUAGGCAGCGGUGGGGAAUAUGGCACAAUGGGCGGAAGCCUGAUGCAGCAACGCCGCGUGUGGGAAGACGGCCUUCGGGUUGUAAACCGCUUUCGCUUGUGACGAAGCGUGAGUGACGGUACUGGCUAAAUAAGCACCGGCUAACUACGUG